rnacentral:miRNA from 1 species
GUGCUUCCUGCGGGCUGAGCGCGGGCUGAGCGCUGCCCGUCAGCGCUCAGAUUAAGGCUGACAGCGCCCAGCCUGGCGCAGCCCGCG